AUUAUUGGACAAUGGGGGAAACCCUGAUCCAGCCAUGCCGCGUGAGUGAAGAAGGCCUUAGGGUUGUAAAGCUCUUUCAAUGGUGAAGAUAAUGACGGUAGCCAUACAAGAAGCCCCGGUUAAAUUCGUGCCAGCAGCCGCGGUAAUACGAAUGGGGCAAGCGUUGUUCGGAAUCACUGGGCUUAAAGCGUAUGUAGGCGGACUAGAAAGUCAGGAGUGAAAUCCCGGGGUUCAACCCCGGAACUGCUCUUGAAACUUUUAGUCUAGAAUCCUGGAGAGGUUGGGAGAAUUCCUAGUGUAGAGGUGAAAUUCGCAGAUAUUAGGAGGAAUACCAGUGGCGUAGGCGCCCAACUGGACAGGUAUUGACGCUCAGAUACGAAAGCGUGGGGAGCAACCAGGAUUAGAUACCCUGGUAGUCCACGCCGUA
rnacentral:rRNA from 1 species